ensembl:lncRNA
GCCACCAGCUGCUCUCUGUCCAUUGGCCAACCAAAGGGAUUCACACCCUACAAGCAAAGGAUUCACACUUUAAACUAGUAAAGUGCACUCAGUAGAGUGCCGAUCCAUAGCUGUUGAGUCGCCCUCUCCCAAACAAAGAAGCGUUGAAUCUCACUCAUUUGUUAUCUGGUAAAUCACCUGUGGUCCCUGUCACGGUUGGGAUUCCAUGUUCCACUGAUACGUAUGAACAUACAAACAGGUAAUGGAUUCCAUGUAUGUGUGAAUAUCACAGUUUUUUGUCAGAAGUGCUUUCAGUGCACAAAGGGUUAUCCUACUACUUGUGGUGAGUCACCCGAUGCCAGCAAUCCGGCACCAUGGAAACCGGCCACACCCCAAUCGCGGGUUGAGCGCCGGCAGCUGGUGCCACUUAACCAAACCACAUUUAAGCGGCAGGCUCACACAAAAAGGGGAAACUGUCUCUCGCGUGAGUGGUGGGGGCUUGUUCUAACAAAUCUUGAGUUCUCUUCAGACACCAGCGCCUGACGCUCAGCCCGCACAACCCGGAAGCCUGAGAUCGUCAUAGGACCCGCUGCACACCCGAAGAUUGAGCACAAGAGGAGCACUACCUUUCACCUGCACGUUUUGGACACCUUUUUCCUUCUUACAUGGAAUAAUUGGGUGCAUUUGUCAUGCUGGAAUUGAAACACCAAGGCCAAUCGUUCCUCACUGAACACAAAUCCAUUCUCCCUACACGCUGCAAGAGUGACAUAUCCUCAGGUACCCGCCCAUCUCUCUCCCUCCCUCUGUGUCUGUCCAUUUCUCCUCCAACAUUAUCCCAUUGGCUGUAUCCCUCUGACCAGUAAUUUAUAACACCCCCCACAGUAGACUCCCAUUGCAGGAAUGUACCAAGGGCUCUUAAGACGUUAUUGAUUUUUAUUUGAUUAAAUGUCUCGCUGGUUUUCAGCAAAUUAGCAAGAGUUUGAUCAAAUCACAAUCAAUAUCUACUUAAUAAUCUCCCAACACACACCUCAUGCAAACUAAGGUAAAACACAAGUGAAUAGUGGGGAUGAAAUAAUGAGACUGAGGAUAAAAUGUGCUUGUACUAUGUUAAAUAGCAGAUUUGUGAGUGGUUACAUUUAUGUGAGUGAGUCCUUUUGUUGUUUGUUGUUGUUCAUACUAGAUCAUUUAUGUCAUACUUUUGUCACGGUGUGGUUUUAUUUCCUGCCUUAUUUUGUAGUUUCUGCUUCUUGUCUCCCUGGGUAACUUCACUUCCUGCCUUGUCCUGUCAUCCCCUUUGACUGUCUGAUUGUUUCCACCUGUGUCCAAUCACCUGCACCUCCCUAGUGUAUUUAAGCUGUGUGUGUGUCUCCUGUCAUUUGUCGCGUCAUUGUCUGGUCUUGGAUGUUCGUAAUUACUGCCUGCCGUUUUUCCCCUGGUUCCUGUGUGCGUUUUUGCCCGUCGGCCUUUUGCGUUUUCUUUUUGACUAUUAAAGUCUCUUUUGUUUAAGAACUCUGCAUUUGAGUCCUGCCUUCCCACGCAUCCCUGACAAUGUUGGUCAGCCAAGUUAUACGGUGGAUCAUUUAA